AACCAUUUACCAUGGUCCUACACAGUAGUUAUUGUAAAGAGAGAGAGAGAGAGAAAGUCUAUUUUGAGAGCGAUCAUAAUAUUUUUAUGGAAACAAUUCUAUAUAUUAAAUGACUUUGUUACAAUAUACAAAAUCUGUGUAUGUUCCUGCAAAAGGACGCCCCUCUUUCUGAUGUAGUGCAUCUGCUUUCACAGUUCUGCUUCCUCUCUCAUCUGUAGCCACACCCACCGGAGGCCCCACAGCAGGAGCACCACCCCUCUCCAGCCAAUGGCAGCGCAGCACGGCCACGCCAUCACUCCUCAGUUUCCAAGGUAACCGGGCUGCUCUCCUGAAAGGCGCUACAUCAUCAGCAUCCGUCCAGCGAGGACUGCUCGAGGCAGGCAGCCCUGCAGUGGAUCGUAUAGCAGGCACCUCCCUCACACACCGCACUGGAUGGAAAAAUGGAGUAGAUAGUGUUAUGCUAAACCAAAAAUCCCCGUCCUCAGGAUCACGCUGUGUUUCACCAUGAAUGUUGCUGUAUCACCGAUGGCCAGUGAGGCUUCUUCCCCUAUGAUAACCUCUGUGACUCCCACCCUAGAACCCGGCCCCAAUAAACAUGAUGAUCCGUGUGGGCCCAGCGUUAGCGGAGACGGGUCGACUCAAAAACAAGAUCCCUACCGCAGGUACCAAAAACCCCCUCCUCUCCACACAGGGGCCGAUUGGAAGGUGGUUCUGCAUCUGCCGGAGAUCGAGACCUGGCUGAGGACCACGACAGAGAGAGUCAGAGACCUCACACACUCUGUGCAGCAAGACAGCAUCAAUAGACAUGUGGAUGUGCACCUGGUACAACUCAAGGACAUCUGUGAAGACAUAUCCGAUCAUGUCGAGCAGAUCCACGCACUGUUGGAGACAGAGUUCUCCCUGAAGCUCCUGUCCUACUCCGUGAACAUCAUAGUGGACAUCCGGAGCGUGCAGCUCCUCUGGCACCAGUUGCGAGUGUCCGUGUUGGUUCUGAAAGAGAGGCUUCUCCAGGGCCUGCAGGACUCCAACGGCAACUACACCCGCCAGACUGACAUACUGCAAGCCUUCAGCCAGGAUCACGAUGAGGCUCGGCUGGAUGCUUUGACAGAAGUGGACGACUCUGGUCAACUGACCAUUAAAUGCAGUAAGGACUACUUCUCCUUGGACUGCGGCAUCACUGCUUAUGAACUGAGCGACUACAGCCCUAUUGACGACCCCGAAGGUCGAGGGCCACGCUCCCUUUAUCCCGAGUUGGAGCAAGACUUUCCAGAACUGCUUCAGAGUGUGGAUCUCCUCAACAUUGCAGCCUCUAGACAAAACCAGGUGUCAUCUCCACCUGCAGAAGAGUCUGUUACCCCCACCCAGGAACCUCAAGAGACAAUCAGUGGUCCCACUAAAGAAGAAAGUGCACCAGAUUCAGCAAUGCAGGGAGACAGUGGCUUUGGCCUUUCCAAACGCCCUCUUCAAGGUGGCUUUAAGAGUGAUGUCUCUCCCACACAGCCUCUGCCUAAAAAGCCCAUGUAUCUGAGGGGUGAUGGGGACACAAGGUGCACUAGGUCUUCGCCUCUCCAGUACCAAGCUGACUUGAGCAGAAGCACACCCUCCCUUCUGGAUACACCAGAUCGCUCCAAGUUCUGGCUGGAGCUGGAAUCAGUUUAUCCAGGCAAUGGGAGUCAGUCCUACGAGAGUCUCCAUGCCGUGAAUGGAGGGAUCUUGCAGAUGAGUCUCAAGAGACCUUCUGUGUCCACUGAAGUUCCUCUGGAGAGACACUCAGCAGAGGCUGUGCAGGGAUUCCACACGCAGAAGCACUUGACAAACUUCAAGACUAUGCACUCCAAAGCCAAGCAGGCUUACAGUGACUCUUCCAGCCCACCACCAUCCUCAGGGGAGGACAUCUCAGACCCAGACCAGCGGGAAAUGUCAUCCAGCCCAGACGAUCAAGCUCCCACCACAGGUUCUCUCUGGAUUGUGAGCCAGAAUGGUUUGUGCGUCUCCAACGCAUCGGGGAGCUCCAAAGAACACUGGUAUGGUUCGGAUGAGUUCCUCGCUCUUCCCGCCCAGCUGAAAAAGACAGAGAUGUUGGCAUUGAAGCUGGAAAGCCUCGCUCAGGUUUUACCACAAAGGGGCCUGGAGGAGUCCAUCCAGGAUGUGGAUGACUGGGAGCUCACUGAGGCCAACCCUGAUUGGGAGAGCAGCAGUGAUCUCCUUUUGCUUCACCCCUAUAAGAAGCCCUCCCGAGCCGGCCGCUUUUCACCUACCUCCUCGAGUGACGUGGCACCUUCCCUGGAUGACAGCAUCGAGUCUGGCCCACUCAGCGACCUGUUGUCUGAGGAUGAUGGGGCGCGAAGCACACCAGAAUCCAGGGGUAGAAAUAUAUCGGCUGGCCAGCCCAAUGCACCAAAGAUGAUGUUUCAGUGCACACCCUUGAUACAGCAACUGCUAGCAGAUAUUCACCACCAAGAGAACUACCAUGAUGUCUGGGCGAAGAUAGAGGGUUUUGUCAGCAAACUGGAUGAGUUCAUCUGUUGGCUGAGAGAUGCUCUAGAAACCACAGACAACUGGACGCCACCCAGAGCUGAUAUCGACAGCCUCAAACUCUACCUGGAAACUCACCUUAGUUUCAAACUCAACGUGGACAGUCACAGUGCCCUUAAAGACAGUCUCCUGGAAGAAGGACGGCAGCUCCUGGAGCUCAUCACCUCCCACAAAUCAGGACUGCGGGACAUGCUCCACAUGAUAUCCCACCAGUGGCAGGAGCUGCAGAGACAGAUCCGCCGUCAGCACAACUGGAUGCUGCGCACGCUGGACGCCAUCAAAACCCACAUCCUGUCCAGCGAGAGGGACGAGGAGGAGCGGGAAUCUCACAGUCAUCACGGCAGCCCCAAGCAGGUGGAGGUCCAACAGAGCCAUCAAGAGGCCCAGAAAGAUGUUCUGGAUCAGAUGAGAGUGAAACUUAAAAGUCAACAGUUCUGCUCCAACAGCAGAAGCGUCGACUUCACCCUGAUGUCCAAGUCUAACAGCCUGUCAGAGUUUGAGGCGGAGUAUCAGGAGCUCUGGGAUUGGCUGAUGGACAUGGAAUCCAUAGUGAUGGACAGCCAUGAUCUGAUGAUGUCAGAGGAACAGAGGCAUCACCUGUAUAAGGGGAACAGUGUUGAGAUGUCCAUGUGGCUUCCUAAGAAGACGCAGCUUCUGGGUUGGUCUGAAUCUCUGAAGAGGAGCGGCACUGAACUUCCUGCUGACUUUGACCAGCGGCUGACGGCCCUCAGGAGCAAAUGGGAUCAACUCGAGAAAAUCCUGGCGGAGCAUGUGGAGCCCAGUGUGGGCCAGCGGAGUCAGCGUGAACUUCUGUCUCCAGACACCAAUAGGAUGGUGACCCAGCUGGAGAGCCGGAUAAAGGAGUUAAAGAGCUGGCUCAGAGACACUGAGCUCUUCAUCUUCAAUCUGAAUCUCAGACCAGACGCACAACAAUGUGAGAGCGGCACUCAAGAUGCUGAUGACCCACAACACGACCCGCAGGACACCAAACAGCUGCAGCACUUCAAGGCUCUGUGUAUGGAGGUGCGGGGCAGACGGAAGGGCAUUUCCUCCGUGCUGAGGCUCUGUCAGAGGCUGCUGGAUGGGCCUGAACAUCAGAGCUCAGAGGCAGAGCGCCAGUCACUGCAGCUGCUGCAGGUCAACCUGGAGAGACGAUGGGAGGCCAUCGUCAUGCAGGUCCUUCAGUGGCAGACCAGACUGAAACGCUCGCUGGGCAGAGACCAGGUCCCUGAGAACCUCAUUGAGCCUUCUCUCAUGGACCUCCAUGGCCAGACGGAAGACUCUUGGGAGUGGGAUGAGAUGGACAUGACCAUCUGCGAUCUGGAUAGACAGGACUGUGAAGAUGAGGAAAACCCUGGAUCUAAGUCCCAGCUUAAUUCCCCAAAGGAGCCUUUAAGUCUCACCGAGUCAUUCCCAAAUGACACACGGUGCGAAGCAGCCUUGAGUUCGGCAGAAUUGAAUGCCUCUUCUUCUCGUGUGUAUCAGGUGUACAGUCUGCCUUAUGUUGAACUCUACCAACAACCCCAGUAUAAUCACAAAUCAUCCUCAACCAAAUCCCAACAGUCACUGUUGAAGCGCCAGAGCAUGGAUUCCUCCUUCUCCUCAGCUGAAUCCUUACCUGACAUCCUGGGAGACCUGUUGAAGGGGAAGCAGGAGCUGCUAUCAGAUUCAGCCAGGAGAUCCGAGAGUGAAAGUGGGAUAGUCAGUGAAGGGGACAUGGAGACCACAGGUAACUCUGAGGUUUGCCUGCUGUUCCAGAGUGAUGAUCCGAAAGUUUGUGUUACUCUCACCCUUCCUACCGGAGAAGAUUCACUUAAUGGAGACAGAGUCUCUGAUGAAGACAUAGAUAGAGUUUUGGAGCGUGCCAACAAGUGUGCAGAAUAUGGUGACAGUCUUACCAUUGGGCAGAGAGACCAGCAAUGGCAUAUCAUGAAAAAGAAGAAAGAGGAUAGUGGAGAAAGCAAAAGGAAACACCACAAGGAACCAGCGAAGAUUCAUGCCAACGGCUUUGGGCUAAGCCAAGAGGCUAACGACAAAUAUCUCAACAUGAGCGGAGACAAAGAUAGGGUGACUACACACCGAAAGCUCGAAAAGGAGUUUGCUCAGCUCUCCCAGGGGUCUUCCCUUGACUCUCUUUUCACCGGAGGAGAGUUAUUCCCAUCGAACAAAGAGGCACUGACUCGUAGCACUUCCCUGGAAAGUUGGCUUGCUCCAUGUAAAAGCGCAGAAGAUGUGGGGAGUAAGGAAAGUCUGAGGGACAAUGAAUCAACUGUGGAGUCCACGGGGGAACUCAGCAGAAGAACUCUGGAACUUCUAAAACGCCUUGAGAACAUCCAAAGCCCUCUUGCAAUGAAGAUGACACGUAGCGUCUCUGACGUAACGCUCCAGAGCAGCUCACUGUGGCGUGGGUCACGCUCGGCUGGUGCUCCCUCCUCCAUUAACGAGAGCUCGGCAGCCUCGCUGACAGAGUUGAGCAGCACUGAGGACUCGUCCGUGGCAUCCGAGGACCUAGCUGUGCAAAUGAACCGCUGCGUGGCUGCUGAGUCCAAUGCAUCCUUCCGUAAACAAACCGACGAGACCGACGCAAGCAUCAGUAUGGUCGUCAAUGUUUCCUGCACUUCAGCCUGUACUGAUGAUGAGGAUGACAGUGAUCUUCUCUCCAGCUCCACUCUGACGCUUACUGAAGAAGAGCUCGGUAUUAAAGACGAUGACUCUAGUGUAACCUCAGAGGAGGAGUACAUUGAAGGUUCCCUUGCUCUUGGGCUGGAUUAUAUAAAGGGUGAGUUUCAAAGCUGGAUGAAGCCUAGAUCUCAGAAUAAAGAGAAAAAUGAGGCAGAUCUAGUGGAUGAACUGCAGUGUGGCACCAUGUCUAAAGACACCCUGUCACCCGUUAAGACCGCCAACGAUCGUAACUUUCUCAGCCGGUCUGCACUGAAACUCUUAGAAACCAACACUAAUGGGAAAAACAAGAGCCUCAAGCAACAGGAGGUGGAUGGCAACCGCAGGGAUGCUACCAGGAGCUAUAUCACCCGCUUUGUGGAUGACAUGGAGAACGGCAAUGUCGAAAGCACUCACAUUGAAGGGAAAGAUGAAGACGAUGAGCUGCUGAGGGAAGAGGGAAGUCUGCUAACCAGGAAAGGGGAAUCAUUUAAAAACUGUUAUGUGGAGGACGGCGUCAAAAGUGAUAUGGUGGCCGCCAACUCACCAUCCUCAUGCGAACAGUUGAGCUUGAGCUCCCUGGAAGGGCAGUUGAAAGGCGAGUUGCCCUGUCACAAUUCCCACUGUCCCUCCUCCUCCAUAUCUCCCAUAGACGAGUGUUCAGGGUUAUCUGCACACACUCACAGCCGACAGAAGCAACUCGCCGCCUUUCUGAAUGAUGUCCACGAGAACCAUCAAGAAAGCUCUUCAGAUAGCUGCAAAGACCCUGCUUUCAUCUCUGAAGAGGCCAAGAGUGACAGUGUCCAUGACUUUGUGAUGGAGAUCAUUGACAUGACAUCUGUGGCCCUGAAGACCAAAGAGGCACAGGCAGAGCAGCCUAGGGAGGUUUGUAGCCCAACGUCUGUAUCUCAGAUCAGAGAGAAGGUCCUCGAGCACUCCCAUCGGCUUAUCCAUUUGCGCAAGGGAGACUUCUACUCCUAUCUGUCCCUGUCCUCGCAUGAUAGCGACUGCGGAGAGGUCAGCACCUGCGCGGAGGACAAGAGCAGCACCCCGAUUCUUUCGAGUACGCCAGAUCUCCAUGACGAAGAACCGCUCUUUGAGGCCUGCACCGAGGAGGUGUACCUGGGCCCUCCUCUCUGUUACAGCAUGUCCAUUAGCAAACGGCCCACGAGGCAAGCCACCAAACAAAUAGAGCCGGCCAUCCUCCUGAGCCCAGCACCUUCAUUGGGCUGCGAUGAAUUCCAAAAAGCACAUGGUAUUUCUCAAGCAAGUGUAGCUGGUAGCCAGCCAGAGUGCCAUAAUGAGGCGCCUUAUCUUAAUCCUUUACCAUGUGAAACCCCGAUAGAUACUGUUGAAUGUUUUGCAGAUACUAAAAUGCUUGAAUCCAAUAUUUCCCCUGUAAUGACUAAGAUAAGAGUCUCUUGCUCCACUACAAAUCCUUUAAAAGAGGAUGGCAGCCUUUAUAUUAAUCCCAAAAUUAACUGUCCGCUGAUAAGGAAGACUGAUAGCGAUGAAAGGGCUCUUGCUUCACAGUUGAUGAAACAGAAGAAUGUCGGGAAGGGGCGCCGCUCUCUACAGGAAUCCAAGUCGACUCAUAAACAGCUGGCAAAGUCAGAGAGCAGCGGUGGUGUUGCAGAGGGCUGCAGGGUUCAGAUCAGCGGUCCGCAGACAGACAGCUCAUCUGCAGGAAGGAGUAGAGUCAGCAGCAGGCCUCAGGUCAAGAGAUUCUCUGGAAGUCUCGCCACACCUGUGUGUAAACGCUGACUGAUCUAGUGGAGGCUCUCUGUGGUCUGACACACCACCUCUGUGUGGUGAUGUGGGGGUCUGGAACGGACACCUAAGUGGAUGUUAGUGCAUGGGCCAUUAGUCUGGCACUUUAGAGAUCUAAGUCCUUCAUCCUCAGCUCCCUCAUCCCUCUUCCUCCUGGCUGCUUUGCUAUUUACCUGUGACCUUUGCCCUCCUGGUGACCACCACUUCAAGCUCCACACUAGACUGAGCUACCUCACCAGUCUUCCACCAUCCCAACCCUACCUGACACUGAAAGUACACCACUAUAGUACACAAGCCUCUUCUAUCAUAUCCCUGACGAUACUAGACCUGAUCUGCCAGCUAGCAACAUCUAAGCAGGUUCAGCUGUUUCAUGCCUAAACGUUGAGGCAUGUUAUUUGAGGGUCGCCCCAUCAAUCAGUAAUGUGUUCCUAAUCAGCCUCGAAUGAGACGUGACGUCGUGGUCUCUCAUGUGGAGGUUAUCAAACAGGCGUCACGUUCCUCUCUAGCUGACUGACGUAGCGCCACAGUUUCUAUGCAACACGACGGUUGUGUGAUGUUGUGUGGCAUGUGAUCUAUGGCAGUUUGAUGCGAUACUGUUUUUUUUUAACUCCCUGAUAAACAAAGAAAUGUAUAAACUUUUUGUGCCUUGCAGUUACUACAUUUUGUUAAACACUGCUUCACCCCCCUCGUGUGUCCUGUGAUCGGUGAGAAAGCAGACGUGUGGCAAGGCUGAGAAUGACGAAUGGGCAUCUGUAAAUAUGUAAACUGUACGUUCAAACCCUGGUGUAUAAUGAUGUCAUAUUACUUCAUGGUCGUGUUACUGUUUGUGUUACGUGACGUGGAUAAAUAGUUACUGUUAGACUGCAUGGUGAACUAUGUACAAGAAAACUUCCAUAAAUAAACCUAAUUUAAUGAACUCUUUGCA
ensembl:lncRNA